ACCAGCACUAAUGCACCGG
rnacentral:snRNA from 1 species